rnacentral:rRNA from 1 species
AACUACGGCUAUGCCACCCUGAACAAGCCCGAUCCUGUCUGAUCUCAGAAGCUAAGCAGGGUUGGGCCUGGUUAGUACUUGGAUGGGAGACCAUCUAGGAAGACCAGGUGCUGUAGGCA